CAGGUUUUUAGGCAGAAAAUCUCAGCUCUUGGAGGGAAAUCUGGUGUGGUUAGUGACUGUAGGGCUGGCUCUCCAGAACCUUCUCCCACAGAAGAACAAAGAACUGGAAUGGAGAUGUGGGUUUCAAGAUUGAUGGGUGGUCUGGGUUUUACUGCCCAUGAUUCUCUUCUUCCUUUUUUUCUAUCUCACUCAGAAGGAAGAGGCCUUGGCAAUGAGUGAAAUUUACGGGAGCCUAAGGCUAUGGUUUUUCCAGUGGUCAUGUACGGAUGUGAGAGUUGAACUGUGAAGAAAGCUGAGAGCCGAAGAAUUGAUGCUUUUGAACUGUGGUGUUGGAGAAGACUCUUGAGAGUCCCUUGGACUGCAAGGAGAUCCAACCAGUCCGUUCUGAAGGAGAUCAACCCUGGGAUUUCUUUGGAAGGAAUGAUGCUAAAGCUGAAACUCCAGUACUUUGGCCACCUCAUGCGAAGAGUUGACUCAUUGGUAAAGACUUUCAUGCUGGGAGGGAUUGGGGCAGGAUUAGAAGGGGAUGACAGAGGAUGAGAUGGCUGGAUGGCAUCACUUGAUGGACGCGAGUCUGAGUGAACUCCGGGAGUUGGUGAUGGACAAGGAGGCCUGGGGUGCUGCGAUUCAUGGGGUCGCAAAGAGUCGGACACGACUGAGCGACUGAACUGAACUGAACUGAAUGUGUCUUCAGGGCUUCCCUGGUGGCUCAAUGGUAAAGAACCCACCUGCUAAUGCAGGAGACACAGGUUCAAUCCCUGGAUCAGGACAAUCCCCUGGAGAAGGAGAUGGCAAUCCACUUCAGUACUCUUGCCUGGGAAAUCUCAUGGGCAGAGCAGACUGGAGGGCUGCAGUCCAUGGAGUCACAAAGAGUCGGACAUGAAUCAGGGACUAAACAAACAAACAAUGUGGCUUCAACCCUAAAAGGUGGUGUUGUGCCCAAGGUUCUCUGAUGUCCUGCCACCUCACAGAGCCCUGGGAGGGUGCCCCAGACCAUCCGCCUCCACACCUGUUCCGCCAGUGCCAGCUCCCUACGUGCUCUUGGGCAAGUCACUGAACUUCUCUGAGUCUUGACUCCCUCAGCCGUCAGAGGGAGACGAUACUCCUACAAGGCCCUCAGUGCUACUUUGAGGAUCAAGAUGAUGAGCGUGGAAGUCUUUAAUUUACUCUCAAGUGUGAUCAGUAUGAAUUACUAUUUAUCCUGGGACGCCUUCCUUCCUUUGGGCCCUGCUACAUGAACCAAGGUGUAAAUGGUGGCUCAGUGGUACAGAAUCUGCCUGCCAAUGCAGGAAACACAUGAAACUCAGGUUUGAUCCCUGAGUUGGGAAUUUCACAGAGGAGCCUGGUGAGCCACAGUCCAUACGGUUGCAAAGAGCUGGACAUGAUUAGACUGAACACCCAGCAUUGGUAUGUAUUUGUCAGGAUGCACCAGGUUGCGGGCUUCCCCGGUGGUUGAGAAUUCAUCUUGCAGUGCAUGGGACACCGUUUCGAUCCCUGGUCCAGGAAGAUCCCACAUGCCUUGGGGGCAACUGAGCCCCUGUUCCACAACUACUGAGCCUUUGCUCUAGAGAACAGUAACUGCUGGGCCCGUGUCGGCAGCUACUGAAGCCCACACACCCUGGGGCCCAUGCUCCACAAGAGAAGAUGCCAUAAUGAGAAACCCACGCACUGCAGCUAGAGAGUAGCCCCCCAUCUCCACAACUAGGAAAAGCCUGUGUAGCAAUGAAGACCCAGCACAGCCAGAAUUUAAAAAAAAAAAAAGGAUGCACCAUUUUAUGCUGCAGUAACAAUCAACCUUCCAUCAGUAUCUUAAAACAGAUUUAUUUAUUGCUCACAUUCCCUGCUUCUCCUGCACUGGUGGCAAGGCGAGAGGCAGGAGACGUAUUCUGCCAACUACAGAAGGAUGUUCAUCAGAAGGAUGCUGGCUGCGGAGCUGGACAAGAUCCUGGAGGUGCCAGAUGUGCCAGGAUCAGUUCUUUCCUGAGAUUGUGAGGCAGUGUGGAGGGGUCCCAGACAGGGCUGGUUUCGUGGUCAUGUGACUUGUGCAGCCUCACAGACCAGCAUGUGCUCAGAAGAGUCCUGUGCUUGCUUUAAUGCUCAGCUGACUCUGUCUUGAAACCUUCGAUAAUUUUUAAGCAAGGAGCCUUGCAUUUUUAUUCUGCACAGGACUCUGGAAAUUAUUGUAGGUAGCCUUCCUCAUCCAGGGGAGGGGAGAUGAAAGAAUAGUAGAAGUGCAUUCUAGAAAUAGGAAGCAGCAAUUUUUUAGCCAACCUGUAAGAAAUGUUUGGGGCUUUUCCCAGGCGGUGCGAAUGGUAAAGAACCCACUUGCCAGUGCAGUAGAUGGAUGUAAGAGACACAGGUUUGAUCCCAGGGUCGGGAAGAUCCCCUGGAGGAGGAAAUGGCAACCCAAUCCGGUAUUCUUGACUGGAGAAUCCCAAGGACAUAGGAGCCUGGAGGGUUAUGGUCCACAGAGUCACAAAGAGUCAAACAUGACUGAAGUGAUUUAGUACUAGUACUAUGAAGUGUCUGAUUUGCUUAACAAUUUGUAUGGCAACUAGUGCAUAUCAGCCCAGAGUUGGUUGACAUGAUAUUCCUUAAGAGGACACACAUCCACUAGGACAGUUGUUUGGGUGUAGAAGCGAUUCCUUAGCUUGGAAACCAGAAGGUGGUGGGCAGGAGAGGCACUCCUAUCUCUCUGAGUCUCUGUCUCACAAGGCUAGAUUUUAAGGAGGAGAAAUUAAAAGAUAUGACUUCCUGGGUGGUACAAGUUAAACAUGGUACCCACUACUUGGCCUUAGGAUGGGAGCCAAAGUGGGAAUGGAUUUGUCUGUUCUAACAAGCAGUCUUUGCAAACAGUAUUAUCAUUUUUAUUACUCUGAGGUUAUUCCCUUUCCGGGUGUUUGGGUCGCAAAGAGUUGGACAUGACUGAGCGACUUCACUUUCACUAUUCCCUUUUAAAAAUGUUAUCCCUUUAUCCCUAGCAAGUACCUGUAUGAUCUCGCCUUCCCUUUCAAUCCUCUUCUAUGCCAAAGUUGGCAGGCAUGCAUGCAUGCUCAGUUGCUAAGUUAACUCUUUGUGACCCCGUGGACCAUAGCCUGCCAGGCUCUUCUGUCCAUGGGAUUUCCCAGGAAGAAUAUUAGAGUGGGUUGCCAUUUCCUCCUCCAGAGGAUCUUCCGUGAUGCAGGGAUUAAACCGGGUCUCCUGCAUCUCCUGCACUGGCAGGGGGAUCUUUACCACUGAGCCACCUGGGAAUGCCACAAGGCUUAUAUGGCUGUUAAUCAUAUCACUCCUUCCAGUUGAUCCUGGAUGUGGCCUCAGAAUAUCCUCCCCAAACCAUGCAUAGCACUCUAUGUCAUCACUGAAAUCAUGGUAGGUAGGGACCCAAGGAAAAUCCUAACCAUCCCACUGCUCGCCUUUGCUGCUGCUGCUGCUGCUAAGUCGCUCCAGUCGUGUCCAACUCUGUGCGACCCCAUAGAAUGCAGCCCACCAGGCUCCGCUGUCCCUGGGAUUCUCCAGGCAAGAACACUGGAGUGGGUUGCCAUUUCCUUCUCCAAUGCACAAAAGAGAAAAGUGAAAGUGAAGUUGCUCAGCCAUGUCUGACUCUUAGCGACCCCAUGGACUGCAGGCCUACCAGGCUCCUCCGUCCAUGGGAUUUUCCAGACAAGAGUACUGGAGUGGGGUGCCAUUGCCUUCUCCAGCUCGCUUUUAGUCAGGCCCAAAGUAAAUGUUUCAGCCUGUGACAACCAUGUUAUGGGAUAUCAUUGUAUAAUAAUGUAUCCAGUCUUUGUCCUGGAGUCCUGGCAUGCUGCUUCUAAACUCUUGGCACUUCCUGACUGUUAGGAGUAUCUUUGUUAUUUGCAAGAGGCACUGGGGCCACACCUGAGUUCAUGCUGAUGAGGUCACUUCUGAUUGGCCCUAGAGAGCUUCAGGCUGGCCAAGAGCUUCAGCUUCUGGCCAAGCCAGAAAGACCAACCAUGUGAUUACAGAGUUGGGGCUUGAGUCAGGUGAUAUUGGUUCAGAGUGGUCGGGGGGCUGAAGAUUGAGUUCAAUUACGUGGCUUGUGAUUCCAUUAAUCAAGCCUGUGUAAUGAAACCCCAAGAAAAACUCAGGACACUGAGGCUCGGGUGAAGUCCUGGCUAGUGAACUUACAUGAACAUUCAUGCGCUGGGUGGGCAAUGUACUCUGGAAAGGAAACAGGAGCUCUGAGUGUGGGACCCUCCUGGACGUUUCCUGAUGUGCCUCUUCAGUUGGCUGGUCCUGAUUUUUGUGUGCGUGCGUGCUAAGUCACUUCUGCUGCUGCUGCGGCUAAGUCACUUCAGUCCUGUCUAACUCUUUGCAACCCCAUGGACUGUAGCCGGUCAGGCUCCUCUGUCCAUGGGAUUCUCCAGGCAAGAAUACUGGAGUGGGUUGCCAUGCCCUCCUCCAGGGAAUCUUCCAAACCCAGGAUUGAACAUUCAUCUCUUAUGUCUCCUACAUUGGCAGGCAGGUUCUUUACCACUAAUGCCACCUGAUUUGUAUCCUUUAUAAUAAAAUUGAAAUCGUAAGUCUAGUACUUGCCUGAGUUCUGAGUCACUCUAGUGAAUUAUCAACCUGAGGGGGUAAUAGGAGCCCCCAGAUAUCUAGCUGGUUAUUCAGAAAUCUGGGUGGCUUGAGGACUGCCGCCCCCCACCCCCAACGCAAAUCUGUGGUUUGCUUGUGGUACAAAGGCUGUCUCGUCGGAGACUGUGCCCUUAGCCUGUGGAGUCUGAGCUAACCUGGAUCCCAUAUUCUGGGAUGGGAGUUACAUUGCAGGAAUGCAGAUGUGAAAAGCAAAGAGGAAGCCACACUCCCCUGAGGCUGCCAUGGUAGCAAGUGCUGGAGACGAGGAAAUCUCCAAAGGCAAAAUGCACCUUUAUAGACCUCACCUGAUCUUGCAAGCAGGGCAUGUUCCUCCACGACCAACAUGAGAGGAGCUGGGCUUCAGUAAUGAAGUAUGUGAAUUUCCUCAGGCCCUGUAGGUACAAAUGAGGUCACAUUCAUGACCUUGUUUCUCAGGUUCUUGCCAGCAUCCUCCCCUGCAAAGUGCCUGUGCCCCAUGAGAAUUUCUGGGAGCGCCUGGGGGGUGUGCUCAUGAGCACGCAAAGGUUUACUGGAUGCUGUACUUCCACCGGACCACACUGCGGUAGCUGUCUUCCACUCGCCCCUCCAGACCACCUCCCCACCCUCUAGCCAUGCCCAGUGUCCUGCAAUGCCGACCGCUGUGAAUGGGCUCAUCCAAGGCUACUUUGCCCUGGCUUCUGGUCAGGUUCAGCCAAUGGAAGGCACUGGGGGCAAGAAGUUAUUGCUUACUCGAACUUGCAGUGAGUUGUCUAAUUCUCCUAACAAAGGCUGCAGCUCUGACCGGGUGGCUGUAUUCUAACCACUUCAGCGCUUGUGCCUUCAGGUCUGGGAGAGAUGAAGCCUGCUCACCCUGGGAUUCCUCACCCCUUGGAAGUUUCCCUUCAUACUGCCCAUGCACGCUUAGUUGCUCAGUUGCGUCUGACUUUUUGUGACCCCAUGGACUGUGACCCACCAGACUCCUCUGUCCAGGGAAUUUCCCAGGCAAGAAUACUGAAGUGGAUUGCCAUUUCCUCCUCCAGGGGAUCUUCCCGACCCAGGGAUCAAACCCAUGUCUCCUGCAUUGUAGGUGGAUUCUUUACUGCUGAGUCACUUGGGAAGCCCCUCACACUGCCCACAUCUUUGUACAUGGCCCUUCUUCAAACUCUCCUCAGUUUGAGAUGCCAUUUGCUUCCUGUUAGAACCCUGACCACUGCUGUUCCCACUGUACAUACAUCCUCAGAAUCACCCCACCUCCCUUUGGGCAUCACCAACAAUUCUACCCAGUCCUGCCCAGUCUAGUGCCUACUGCAGUGUGGGAGAGAGGCUGUGCCCCACUCUGUCCCUCUUUUAGAGGGAGUCUGAGCAAUGUACUGCUUGUGCUCCAAUGUCUUCUAGAAUUUUAAGUUGAAAAAGCUCUUUUUUGACCUGCAUGAGGCUGGAGGAGGAGUCCUGAGAGGUCUGGGUCUGGGAGCUGGCUCUGCUACUAAAUGGCUCUGUGUCCUUACAAAUGUCACUCUCAUAUUUAGGUUUCAGUUUCCUCAUCUGUAAUACAAGAGUUGGAUUUAGUGUUUUUUUUUUUUGCAUUGCUCAUUUUCUCUCUUUUAAAAAAAAUUUAUUAAUUUUAAAAUUUAUUUUUGGCUGUGUUGGGUCUUUGUUGCUGUGUAGAGGCUUUCUCUAGUUGCAGAGCAUGGGCUGUAGAGCACAAGGGCUUCAGUAGUUGCAGGACGCAGGUUCUGUAGUUGCGGCACAUGGUCUCAGUUGCUCUGAGGCAUGUGAGAUCUUAAUUUGAUCCCACAUGAUCUUGAGCAGGGAUCAAACCUGUGCCCCUUGCAUUGGUAGGCAGAUUCUUAACUACAGGACCACCAGGGAAGCCCCUGGUCAGGGUCAUUUUCAUUUACUGUUUUUUUUGGUUUUUAAUUGAAAUGAAGCUGUGUUCGUUUCUGAUGUAUGGCAAAGUAAUUCAUAUAUGAAUAUGAACAUACACAUUUUUUCAUUAUAGGUUAUUAUAAGAUAUUGAAUAUAGUUCACUGUGCUGUACAGUAGGAACUUGUAAAACUUAUCUGUUUUAUAUAUAAUAGUUUAUAUCUGAUGAAAUUAAAAGAUGCUUGCUCCUUGGAAGAAAAGCUAUGACCAACCUAGACAAUGUAUUAAAAAGCAGAAACAUUACUUUGCUAACAAAGGUCCAUCUAGUCAAAGCUCUGGUUUUUCCAGUAGCUAAGUAUGGAUGUGAGAGUUAGACCAUAAAGAAAGCUGAGCUCUGAAGAAUUGAUGCUUUUGAACUGUGGUGUUGGAGAAGACUCUUAAGAGUCCCUUGGACUGCAAGGAGAUCAAACCAGUUAAUCUUAAUGGAAAUCAAUCCUGAAUGUUCAAUGGAAGGACUGAUGCUGAAGCUGAAGCUCCAAUACUUUGGCCACCUGAUGGGAAGAACUGACUCACUGGAAAAGACCCUGGUGCUGGGAAAGACUGAAGGCAGGAAGAAAGGGGACGACAAAAGAUGAGACAGGUGGAUGGCAUCACUGACUCAACAGAAAUGAGUUUGAGCAGGUUCCAGGAGUUGGUGAUGGACAAGGAAGCCUGGUGUGCUGCAGUCCAUGGGGUCGCAAAGAGUUGGACAUGACUGAGCGACUGAAAUGACUGAUAUCUGAUGAUCCUAAACUGUUGAUUUAUUCCCUACCCUAACUGUUUUCCUCUUUGGUAAUCACAUAUUUGUUUUCUGAGUCUGUGUGGACUCAGUGAUUCUUUAGCUGCCCUGGGCCUUCAAUAUCACUUUAGCCAGAGUGUUUCCUGUUUGAUCUAUUUUUAGAAUUUGGGCUUUCAUGAAGAUUUCCUUUAAAGCGGGAGUCCCCCAAUUCGAGGGAGGCCUCGAAUUGCUACCUCUAGUCAGAUCAGCGGCAGCUUUAGAUUAGAAAUAAAGUACACAAUAAAUGUAACAUGGUUGAGUCACCCCAAAACCAUCCCCCCACCCAGCCCUGGUCCAUGGAAAAAUUGUCUUUCAUGAAAUCUGUUCCUGGUGCCAAAAAGGCUGGGGACCACUGCUUUAAAGCAUGAAUUCCAAGGCUUUAAAAAUGCUAGACAAAAAAAGUGGGCUAGAUAACUCUAAGGUCCCUUCCAGUCCCAACAUAUUUUUUUCAGACAUGUCAUGCAGCUUGUGGGAUCUUAGUUUUCCAACCAGGGAUUGAACCCUUCCCUCGGUAGUGAAAGCAGAGUUCUAACCACUGGACUGCCAGGGAUUUCCCAGUCCCAACAUUUUUGAGCAUAAAAAUCAACCUUGCCUUCCUCACCACUGUACCACAGAGGGUCUGGUUCCAAGAAUUAAUGGAAAAUUGAUGGCUAAAGGCACAUCUCCUGCCAGGCUGUCUCAUGGCAAAUCGACCAUGACCCUGUAAAUGGUUUGCUCCCAUCCCAUCCAUCUUUGGCAUCUUCUCACUUACUUCUUGUUUACUUCUGCCAAUAUUCCUAGGCAAAGGGGGAAAAAAUUAAUUUAAAACCAAUUGCAUAAAAUGCAAACCAGCCUGGCAAAUGCAAAUGUGGAAAAGAUGGCAGCUUUAGAUGAACUGGCUGCCGAGGUUUGCAAAGGCAUGGUCCACAGCAGUGGAAGCUGGCAGUCCCUCGGCGGUUUGUUCCAGACAUGUGGUGCUGGACAGGAUUAUAGAGUGGUGAUUAAUAGUUUGUGUAGCAUCUGAGCCUGCUUCCUGAUUGUGGGGAAUCUGCCCUUGCAUGAAUGUCUAGCUCUGGAGCCCAAAGGGGUGAAAAGGCUCCCCUUGAACUCUGGUAGGGGGAGCAAAGACACAUGAACUAAGUACAACCCAUCAGAACCUCACUUGAUAUUUUCAAUCCAGGCUUAACAAUGUAAUGGAAAUUCCUUCUGAUGGGACUGAUGGCUAAGGCAUUCAGUGUCUGGUGGCAUUGGUAGUACCCGGGCUAGCAGCGGCCACAGUGCAAGCAGAGGGUCUAGCAUCCAGUUACCUACAAUCUGUUUUGAAAGAGGCCAGAUGUUACAGAUGAUGUGAAGGGAUGUUAGUUUUUCCAGAGUCUCUGCAUCUUGCCAGCCUGUGCCUUUUCCAACAUUCUCCUUCCUUCUGUGGUUUCUGAGUUUCCUUGACAUUCAAUUUCCUUCAAACUCUCCCAAGGGAUUCCUCUCUCAGGCUCUUCUCUCCAUCUUCUCAGCAGAUGUUUAGGCAGCUCUUGUUGCCCCUCAGAAGAGCAAGCAACACCUCUUGUGACUUUCUCCCCACCUGCAUCUUUCUCCUGCCCAUUUUAUGCCCCCAACUGUGCCCAUACAGGCCAGUGGGUACUCUUCUCUUGCAAAUGAAUCUCCCAGAGUGAGCCUUCUUGUCACACAUGUGUGUGCUGGUGGUGAAGACUGAUGCAUCUCACAUGAGGAAAAAAGGCGUGGGGCCUCCGUGGUGGUCCAGUGGCUAAAAAUCUGCCUGGCAAUGUAGGGAACAUGGGUUCGAUCCCUGGUCCAGAAAGAGUCCACAUGCCGCAGGACAACAAAGCCUUUGUGCCACAACUACUGAGCCUGUGCUCUAGAGCCCAGGAGCCACAAGUACUGAGGCUCGCACGCUUUUGAGCCUGUGUUCCACAACAAGAGAAGCCACUGCAAUGAGAAGCCCGAGCUCUACACUGGAGAGUAGCCCCCGUUCACCACAACUAGAGAAAACCCUGAUGCAGCUAUGAUGAGCCCUGUGUGCCGCAACAAAGACCCAGCACAACCAAAAGUAAAUUAAAUAAAUGAUAAAGUGGAAAAAAAAAGUUUAAAGAAAAAAAGACCUUUGAGCAACCUGGCAAAGAUAAGCUUCAUUCACUUCCUUUUCACCCCCUUUCUGAACAUCUCCACUGCUCCAGGUCUGCAGUAGACCCCAUGGGGAUACUGAGAAAUAAAUGGAUGUGCAAAAUAAGGGAAAGGAUGUGGGACUCUGAAUUGGGAGACCUAGGCUGGGACCCUGGUCCCAGGGUCACUCACACUCUGUGAGAAUUGGGUAGGUUCCCUAACCUCCCUGAGCUUCAGUUUCCUUAUCUAUAAAGUGGGCUCAUCAAUGCACAUAUUCUAUGGAUUGUGGGGAGAUUUGUUAGAUGCAUCUAAGCAUUCAUCAAAUUUACCAGUUUGUAGGAAAACGCCCAUAAAUGUGUAUCGCUGUCAACCGAAAGCCCCGCAAAUGAUGGAGGGGAUUUCCGCCUCUAAUCACCCUUAGUGGUGGGGGAGGCACACUUGGGAGUUGGCUACCUGGCAAUGUGGGGAAAGCUAUUUGCAAUUAUGUCAUAUGUUAAUUUAUAUCAGUCAAAUAUCUUCUUAUAUUUCUUGACAAGAAUGCUUGUAAAACAGAGUGGGCAGGAAUGCUGAACAAGUAGGGCAGUUAACAGAAGAGAGGGCGGCCAGAGGGAAGAGAGUGCCAGAGGAGAAAGGAUAUGGCCUUCUUCCUCAGGAUCCAAAAUAUCAGCUGGAGCUCCAGCCAUUAUAUCCUUGUUCCAGAUAGCAGGAUGCAGAAAGGGAUAAACAUUGCAUGUCAUUGGCCUUCAAAGAAAAGUCUCAGAAGCUACCACACAACACUUCUACUAACAUCUCAUUGACCAUAACUCAAUUACACGACCAUAUCUAGUUGCAAGGAAGGCUGGGCUAUUUAGUUUUAUUCCAAAAAGCCAGUGAAAACUUUGUGACCCCACAGAUUGUAGCCUGUCAGGCUCCUCUGUCCAUGGGAUUCUCCAGACAAGAAUACUGGAGUAGAUAACCAUUUCCUUCUCCUGGGAAUCUUCUCAAUUCAGGGAUCAAACCUAGGUCUCCUACAUCACAGGCAUUUUCUUUACAGUCUGAGCCAUCAGCCCAAAUGAAAACUGGGAUUUGCAUUACUGUGAAAGAAGAGGAAAGCAAUAUUAGUGUUAUGUAUCAGUCGGCAAAUGCUAUAAUAAUUCUGCAUAACAAAUCACACAAAACUCAAUGGCAUACAACAACAAGCAUUGAUUUUUCUCCCUCAGAUCUGUAGUUUGGCUGGGAAAGCUCUGCUUGAAGCCGCAAACCUCCCGGGCGUGGAUUAAGCCUUCAAAUUGGCUUACAUCCACCUUCCUCUUUAUUUCCCUUGGACUAGCCCUGCCAGGGCAUGUUCCUUUCAUGGCAAGUGGCAGGAGCCCAGGAAGUUGAGCAGAGACCCUUGAUGCCUCCUGAGGCCUUGUGAGUACCUCUCUGCCCACACUUCAUUGAUUAAAACUGGUCAUGUGGCCAUGCCAACAUCAAAGACAGAAGUAUAUUUCCUUCACGCUAAUGUGUACCACUGCAGAGUCACAAGUUAGGAUGCAAGUAUAAAACCCUAAUAUGUGAAGGGUCUGAAAAACAGUAAACAAUGAUUCAUCCCAUGACAGAGAACAACGAACAUUGCCAGGAAAGGCAGUAUCCAUGGUUUUGGUCCCCUGAGACCUCCCAGGAGCCUACUGAUGCUGCUGUUUCUCUAACUGUGGUUUCACGCUCUACUUUCCUACUUCUGACGGCCCCACUUUGCAGGUAGGAGAACAAGUCCAGCCUCUCAUAUAAGCUUUCCUGGCCACACUUCCUGGCUCCCCACCUCACCAACUACCCUGUAGUUGUCUCCUUGGAGGUCUUGCCAAGAGAAGCAGGGUCUCCAUGGGGUUCAGGACUCCCCCAUGUGGGUCCAGCCAUCAUUUUCCCUUACUCCAGAUCCCAAGGGGCCAGCCAACGUCAGAUCCAUUUCUCCUGUUUAGUCCCCCAAAUGCAAAAGCUUCCUAGAGCUGCUGUCUCAUAGAAUAAGGGUUGACAGUACAUCUGGCAGACAGUGAAGGCCCAGUUAGCCAAACCCUCAAAUCACAGAAAAGCUUGUUUAUCUUUCCUGGGGUAAGACGGAGUCUACAGAAGUGAAAAUUUAGAACUCAGAUGAGCUUUUCAAAGUGUGACCUUUCCAGAGUUUACAUUCUCAAUAAAUCAACCUGCUAAAUUGUAAUUGGUUGAGCUUAAAGCAAAAUUCCGAAAGGUUUGGUCAACAUUUUGGCACAAAUAACCUUCUGUGUGUCUCAGUAUUACCACUUUACUUAGUCCAUUUCCAUUAGUAACUUGAACAGCAUUUUCUUCAGUACAGCCCAAAGUUAGCGAAUGCUCAGGAGUUGGUUAAAACAGCCAUUUUCCAUAAAGGCUGUGACCUCUCUGUUACCACCUUCUCCCUGUAAAAACCUUUUUGAUGUGGUUUUUGCAAGCUGAUUUCUAAACGUCCUUUCACAAAAGUUAUCUAAAAAACAAGCCAUACGUUUCUUGUAAAGUUAAAUAUCCACCUGCUUUAUGGGCUAGUAGUCCUACUCCUAGAUACUUUUACCUUAGACAAACAAAACUUAUAUCCAGCCACACAAAGAAAUCUGUGUAAAUGUUUAUAGCAACUUUAUUCUUGGUAGCCAAACGCUGGAAGAAACCAAUAGUUCAUCAAUGGAUGAAUGGAUAAACAAAUUGUGGACUAUACACACAAUGGGAAACUCUUCUGCAAUAAAAAGGAAAGGAUUUCCAACAUAUUAAACAACAUAGAUGAAUCUCAUAGACGUUAUGCUGAGUGAAGGAAACAAGACACAGAAGAUCAUGUACUGUUUGAUUUCAUUUAUAUGACAAUCUUAGUUCAUCUGGGCUGCUAUAACAGAAUACCACAGACUGGGUGACUUAAAAACAGCAGAACUUUACCUCUUACACGUUGGAGGCUGGGAAGUCCAAGGUCAAAACACCAGCAGUUUUGGUGUCUGGUGAGGGCUUUCUUCCCGGUUCAUAGAGUCCCCAUGCUCUCACUGUGUCUUACAUGGUGGAAUGGGUGAGGGAAUCUCUCCAGGAUCCCUUCUAUACGGGCACUACCAUUCAUGAGGGCUCUACCCUCAUGACCUGAUCAUUUCCCAAGGACCUCAUCUCCUAAUACCAUCAACAUAUGAAUUUUGGAGGGAUAUAAACAUUCAGUCUGUAAUAGACACUAGAAAAAAACAAACAAACAAAAAAAACCGUUUAUGGUGAUAGAAGUUAGAAGAAUUGGAUUGACUGGAAAAGAACAAGAAGGAACUUUCCAGGAAAUAGAAAUGUUUUAUGUCUUGAUUGGUGUAGUGGUUCCACUCUGUAGAUAUAUGUCAAAACUCAUCAAACACUAUAGGUUAGAACUGAGCAUUUCACUGUGUGUAAAUUAUACCUCAAUAAAAAAGAUUUAAAAAAAAAUCAGGCUAUUCCUCAAGUGGUCUAAGAGUGAACUUGGGAGAACUGUGUUCUGAACAUUUAUGGAGACAUCAAAGACCUUUGAGCUGGAGAGAUGGUUGAGGACGUGGUCGGCAACCAGCUGGAAACAUUUUCAUUUUGUAUCAUCAGUUGAUCAUUUAGGAAAGGGUUUUCCAAAAAUGGAGAAUGAGGCCCAUUCAAUUAGUUUCUUAAAAUAAUUUUACAAGGGAAAGUGUUAGUUGCUCAGUUGUGUCCAACUCUUUGCAACCCCAUGGACUGCAGCCUGCCAGCCUCCUCUGUCCAUGGAAUUCUCCAGGCAAGAACAAUGGAGUGGGUAGCCAUUCCCUUCUCCAUGGGGUCUUCCCAACCCAGGGAUUGCACCCAGAUCUCUCGAAUUGUGGGCAGAUCCUUUACCAUCCGAGCCACCAGGGAAUCCCCUAAUUUUACAAAUGGACCUCAGUAAGCUCAAAUGUCAUUACUUGUGACUUUUAUGUCAAGGCCCCAUGGUACUCCCUUGCUGAGGACCAAGACAGUCCAAGCCCUCAGACCUGGGGCUUGGAGAGACUGUGACAAUUGGGUCACAGCCCCACAUGAUCCAUGAGAUUCCGAGGGUGCCAGAGAAUUAGAGGAUCCUGUUAGCUGGGGGUCAGGGAGCCCAGAGUGAGACUCCACUCUUCCGACAAUCUAUGUUGGAUUCUCCCGGCAAGAAUACUGGAGUAGGUUGCCAUUUCUUCCACUAGGGGAUCUUCCCCACCCUGGGAUCAAACUGGUGUCUCUUACAUCUCCUGAUUUCGCAGGUGGGUUCUUUACCACCAGGGCCACCUGGGAAGCCCCCAGUCAUCUACGCUGAGC
ensembl:lncRNA